ACGAACGCUGGCGGCGUGCUUAACACAUGCAAGUCGAACGAUGAAGCCCAGCUUGCUGGGUGGAUUAGUGGCGAACGGGUGAGUAACACGUGAGUAACCUGCCCUUGACUCUGGGAUAAGCGCUGGAAACGGCGUCUAAUACCGGAUAUGACAACCGACGGCAUCGUCUGGUUGUGGAAAGAAUUUUGGUCAAGGAUGGACUCGCGGCCUAUCAGCUUGUUGGUGAGGUAAUGGCUCACCAAGGCGACGACGGGUAGCCG
rnacentral:rRNA from 1 species